CCAAUAGCGUAUAUUAAAGUUGCUGCAGUUAAAAAGCUCGUAGUUGAAUUUCGGGACUAAUAUGUCGGUCGUGCCUCGGUACGUACUGGUUUAUUGGUUUCUCCUUUCUGAAGAACCAUGAUGUCAUUUAUUUGGUGUCGUGGGGAAUCAGGACUGUUACUUUGAAAAAAUUAGAGUGUUUAAAGCAGGCUCACGCUUGAAUACAUUAGCAUGGAAUAAUGAAAUAGGACGUUUGAUUCUAUUUUGUUGGUUUCUAGGAUCGACGUAAUGAUUAAUAGGGAUAGUUGGGGGCAUUAGUAUUAAAUUGUCAGAGGUGAAAUUCUUGGAUUUAUUGAAGACUAACUACUGCGAAAGCAUUUGCCAAGGAUGUUUUCAUUAAUCAAGAACGAAAGUUAGGGGAUCGAAGACGAUCAGAUACCGUCGUAGUCUUAACCAUAAACUAUGCCGACUAGGGAUCGGAUGAUGUUAAUUUUUUAAUGACUCAUUCGGCGCCUUACGGGAAACCAAAGUGUUUGGGUC
rnacentral:rRNA from 1 species